rfam:Ovis aries breed Texel chromosome 4, whole genome shotgun sequence.
UCCCUGGUGGCUCAGAUGGUAAAGCAUCUGCCUGCAAUGCAGGAGACCCAGGUUCAAUCCCUGGGUUGGGAA